UACGGAGGGUGCGAGCGUUAUCCGGAAUUACUGGGUUUAAAGGGUGCGUAGGCGGCUUGGUAAGUCAGGAGUGAAAGUUUGCGGCUCAACCGUAAAAUUGCUUUUGAUACUGCCAGGCUAGAAUCAGGAUGAGGUCAGCGGAAUGUGGCAUGUAGCGGUGAAAUGCAUAGAUAUGCCAUAGAACACCAAUUGCGAAGGCAGCUGGCUAGACCUGUAUUGACGCUGAGGCACGAAAGCGUGGGGAGCGAACAGG
rnacentral:rRNA from 1 species